GAAGCCUGGGAUGGAGCUGCGCAGCCAGGAAAGGCUGCCUGUGUGUUUGCUGCUGAUACUUCCCACCGCAGUGUCCUUCCAGGACAGGAGCAGAAACACUCUUUAGAUAAAUGCCUGUUUAGUAGCUGUGGAGCGUCCGCUGUAUUUACACAAGACAACUGCCGUGGAGUGAUAAAACCCACAGCCCCUGCCGCUGCGCUGCAUCCUGCCUGUGGGCAGAGCUGGGCCGCCAAGGUCGGGGCUUGGCCCGCAGCGGGCAGGAGCCGGCAGGAUGGCUCAUCCCCUCUCUUCUGGUGGGAUGAAGUAAACUUCCAGCCUCCUUCACCUCCAAAACCCUUGGGUUUGCUUGAUCCCAGGAGCUCGGUGCUCAUCUGCAUCCAAGCCUGAAGCCCUGCAUGCCAUGCUGCAGUGGUGCGAUAGCUGCUCAGCUCCUAAUAUUCCUGAAAGGCUGAUGGGGUUCCAGGGAGGUGUUAGAAGAGUUUGGAGCCACUGGAUUGUUUUCCAGACACGUGUCAACUGCCUGGGGAAAAGAAGAAAGCAAUCUAUCGGGUGGAGUCGUGUCAGAGCUGCCCCUGCCCGUGUGGCUCUGGGGUGGUGAAGCUCUGGGGCAAGCUGAGAGCCAGGUCUCGCGGCAAGUGCUGUGUGUCGUUAGGUCCGAUAGCCGCCUGGAAAACCAAGGUGCUUGUGCAAGGGCAAAGGAAUGUCAGAAGUUUAGAGCAGGCAGCUCACAUCAGCUCCACCACAUCUCCCCAGCAAUGAUGGAAGCUGCCUCGAAUGUCUCUUACAAGCACAGAAAUUAAUACCCUUCUUCACUGGAAGCGGCAUAUCCAACUGCUCCCCAAAAGUCUGUCUGAGAGCAGAGCCUUGCCUUGCCUUGCCUUGGAGCAUCAUCCACCGCUGCGGCAGCCACGCUGUUUGGCCACGACCAAGUGUGUGGCUGCAUAUGAGUAAAAGACUGAUCCUGUUGUGAGGCAUCUCGAGCUAAUGAAGACGCUUCCCCUCUAUCUGCUGUUAUCGGGUGCCUGGAAGGACUGCGAAGGAGCUUCAUCCUGCUCCAGGCAGGGCUGAUGGGAUUUGUACCGGUCCCAGUUGCCAUGGAGAAAGUGUUGGAUGGCUUUAAUACAUCUCCGUGAAUUUCUCCCUGGAGUUUUCCCGUGACAAGCUGGACUGGAGGCAGGUCUGCAACGUGGAGGUGUUUCAUAGCACGCUGCUCCCUCCUUUGCUACCCUCGCCUAAGCCUGGCUGCACGGAGGCUUGGGAGUCUCCCCCGUGGGUACCUUGCCUUUGGCGUGUGUUUCCAGGGGCUCCUCAUCUCUCCAUGGGAGGUAAAGGCUCAUCUGGGGAGCUGUGACUGGUUUUCCCUAUUUUCCUCCCAUUUUCCAGCCUGUGUGGUUGAGCACAGAGCACUUUAUGAAACACGGGGGGGGAAUCGGCAUGAGAAAUGGUGGCGACAUGAGCUGAGCCAAAUGGGCAGUGGAAGAAAAAUCAUCCUUGCAAAAGUGCCAGCAUCAGCCCUGGUAGGGAGAGAAGGAGAAAGAGGGUGUUUGAAGGAGGAAAGCAUAAAAGCCUCCACAGGAGCGGUACCCGCACAGGAAUACUGCCCCAACAGACAGUGUUCGGGAAUGUCGGAGGUAAUGACUUCUCUGCUUCAUUAGCUUCACGUGCAUGCUCUGGGUAAUGACUGAUCAUGUUUAUGCUGCUGUUUCUACAGUUCUCUCUGUAUUUUCCGUUUCUAUUCGUUUCUCCCCCCUUGGCUUCCCUUCUGCACCUCUUUCUGCUGUUAUCUGUCUUUUCCCUUCCCCAUAGGCUGCUCCCUCCCAAGCAGGCAGGUGCAGCUGUGUUCCCCACCGUGCAGCCUUGGCUCCUGCCCCCCGUGCAUCCUCCUGCUCAUAAACUCACUCAGCCUGCUCUGCCGGCAACAUCUGCUUAUCCUUCCAGGGAAUUCACUUAUUAAUAACUUUGCUCAGGCCCCAGGUGCAUUUUCUGAGGCUGCCCAGCCCCACCAACCACCGUGCCACCCUUUUCUUGUCCCAGCACACUUAACCUCCAGGAAUCCAAAGGGUCCUCCCGAGGCACCAGCUUGGGUGGGUGGGGGAAACUUUCUGUGAUGAAUUCGCUGCAGGCCAAGGCCUUUUGUUUCUAUCCCAGAGCUUGUGUGUGGAAAGGACUGGAGAAGCAGGAUGAAAUGUUGGUUUGCUGUCUCCCCUUUACAACAACGUGGGGGACGGGACUGGGGCAGGAGGAGGCAGGACCUCAUGGUGGUGGGAAGUUGCUGAGGAUGGUGGGUGCAGAGCAGACAGCACCGGCACAAGGGCAUGCACGUUGCUGGUUUGGUUCAGUGCCUGCAAUCAAUACGAGCUUGCUCAGGGUAGAUUUUUUGAGCCUUUGGAACAGUUUAUUUGGUUUCUAAAGUGCUCAUUUUCUAGAGUAAUUUCUCAAGCCUUGUCUGAGCCUCUUGUCAUGUCUGCACUAAGUGAGUUUGAGGGCUGUUUUCUAGUCCGCUUUGUCAUUUCUAUUUUAUUGUUUGGUUGGCUCUAAAUAUACGUUGAAGUGUAAUUCUGUUUCGUUUUGCUGACUUGGGCAUGAAAAGAAACACGUUGCCAUCAUCUGGAAAACCCCAAGAGGCAUUUGUUUUCUUGGGCAACCUGCUGAGCUUCAUGAGGUUUGCCUUUCCUCACCCCAAGCCAUUUUCCUCCGAUGUCUCUUUCCCUUCGUCAGGCUUGGGCAGUGCCUGGGGAUGCAGGGAUGUGGGGAUGCGCUGUCCUCACAGCCAUGCCAGCCCUGCUGUCCUAAGCCCCUCUAAAAUCAAGCAGUAAAUGAAAGGAUAGCCCAUGAACACGGGGAAGAGAAGAGAAAGCCUGAUCUUUACAGAUGACAUUUAAGCCUGGAGAAGGCCGAUGUAUUUUACCCACUGUCACAUUAUAAAAGGCACUGAAUUCAUUAUACUGUUGAAUAAAUCAUUUUUUAAAAAAAGUAUUUAUCCAGAGAAGAGCCACCGCUUUCCAGUCAAGAGCUCUUCCUGCUCAGACGAAAGCUUCCAGCGUGGGAGCAAACAAUCCGGCUCUCUCCUUGCUGGCAAAGCCCACAGCUGGUGUCUGGAUCCCAUGCCACCUUUUGCUGGGGACGAGGAGCCGACACUAUGCUUGGGGGAGCAAUCGAGGGCUGACAAUGUGCUGAAGUUCUCGCACUCUUCUGCCACCGACCAUCGCAAAGGUUUAAGUUGCUGAGAUGGAGCUUGGUACGUCAGGCAGGAAAAUAAUCAGCUCCCAAUUGAAGUGGGGAGAUGCAUGAUAUCUUGCAGCUUCUUUCAUACACUUCACAGAAACCAAUGGUUACACAAAUAAUACCUGUGGGAUGACAACAAGCUAUAAAUAAUUCAGGGCUCUCUGGCACAGAGCUGAUAUGUGCAGGUUUGAGGAGCGCCUGGGUGCCAUGGAAUGCGUCAGGUCCUGGGCCUCCCAAAAGAGGCAGGGGCGAACGGUGCCAUCUCACUGACCCAGCAGCUCUCUUGGCAAUACCCCUGCCAUUUUCCUAGCCUUUCCAGACCAGCCCCACUUUCUCCCUUUCACCCACACCCCUGGCCACCGCGGUGCUUAUCGGUGAUGCCCUUUGCCUGUGGUGCCAGGAGAAGCUGAAGGUUUCCCGUGCACGCUGGGACCACGCAGCUGGCUUGGCAAACCCAUCACCCUCCACACAGAUUUGUGCGUAAGCUGCUUUGACGUCUUCCUGACCCAAAGGAGUGGCUGGGUUUCUACACCUGAGCUGAGCUGAGCAUCUCAAGAGAGCAACUGCCUCCUGCUAGCCACAGGUCCCAGCCGGGCAUGUGCAGGGAAAUGGCUCUGCCCCAGCAAAUUCCACAAGUAUUGGAGGUUUUCUGGGAGCCAUUGUGCAGUUUCCCAUCUACGGAUGUAGUGGUUUCAGUUUAACUCUGCAUCUAAAUAUUUUGACAGCCUCUCUUCUUACAGCCUAGCACAGCGUGUCAUGUUGUACAGUAACAGUCCUCUCAGCUCCCCGCUGUGGCACACCGGCAUGCCACGUGCUCCGUGCCAGCACACCGCACGCUCCCCGCUGCCGAUACAGACUGCGCAAUGUGGUUGUGACCCCCCCUCGCGGGACAAUGCUCCCGGCUCAAACCCCAGGGAUGGGGAAGGCGAGGAGGGAGAAAACUGCUCAGCAGCUGGCUGUCUCAAAGCAGGGGACGGCUGGCUCACCAAGGGGGGGGGUCUCAGCCUGUCUCCACCCAAAAGAUUCCCACAUGCCAGAUCCCCCAGCUGCCCCGCUGGCUACCUUAACAUUUAGCCCGUGAACACCUUGCUCUCUUAAUCAGAGCACGAACAGAAAAGUUGGUGGCAGGACACAUAGCUCAAUCAACCAGGAGAACAAAAACCUUCUCGUUGCAAUUUGGAAAUGAUUUUAUUUCGCAGCCCGUUUCACAGGGAGGAAUUGAUCUGUCUAAUCUCUUAUCUGUGACUAUGAAAUUGUAUUUCCCUCUUAAUAGGCCUACAAAUGUUACAGCUGAAUAGUUUGGGAGACACACUGCAAACGGCAGGAAUACUAAAAAGGAAUGUUAGAUUUUGAUCACUUUGGGCUGCAGAAACCAGCGCACAGGAAUGCCAGGGUCUGCAUUGGCUUCAUCCCCACUCCCUGGGGACCGGUCUCCGACCCCAGUGCGUGUGCCUGAUUCCUGCUCAAAUCAGGCUGGGGAGGUCUCUAAGAAGCUGUGUUUAGUUCAGUCAUCACAAAGCUGCCCCGUUCCCUCCUUGCUUCAUGCCUGCAUUGCAAAGGAAGAGGAGGCAGUUGCAGACCCAGCUCUUGCUCCACUAAUCCCAGUUUCCCAUACUGAAGCCUGGUUUUCCAUGCUGGGAUGACCACCAAGUGCCUCAGCCAUUUAAGCUUCCAGUCGGAGCGACAGCUGCCAUCUCCGAGGCAGCGGAGGGGGCUCUCGAUACCUUCCUGCUGUCAUUGCUGCAGCUUUGCCCUAUGCAGCUCCAUCACCUGUGCUCUCAACUAUUUUGUUUGUAAGUUUGCAGGCAUUGGCUCCAUGCUUCGAUAUUUGGGUUGCAAAAAUGUGAGCUAACAAUGUCCUUUUAACCUACGCUCCCUGCCUCGAGCCUGACAGGGGCUGUCUCACUUGGCAGCAUCUCCAGCGUGGCCGUGAUGUGUUGAUGUGAAGUGCCUCCAGCCCUCUCCAUCCCCGCCACUUCCAUCACCACAAGUUCCUGGGACCAAACAUCCGAGGUGAUGCAGAGGUGCAAAAUGUUUGCUCCAACUCGGGGAUUUGGAACUGCAAGCAGCCAUCCCAAACCACUGCUAAAUGUUUUAGAACCAGGAAAAAAGUCAGCCUUCCUCCUGCCUUGCUGCUUCUAGAAACCUGCACAAGCAAGGAAAGCAGAGAACCAUGCAAGCCUCUGCGAUGAAGCUGUUUGAUAAAUUAAUUUAGAGUGGCCAAGGAGACCUUUUCAGGAGGAGAUGGAUGCUGUGCCAUCCCUGCGCAUCCCUCGCACCUGCCCAGGCAAUCGCGCCCUUUGCAGGACACCGCUCAGCAAAGUCCCUAAGGGGCACUCGUCACUAAACCAUCACAGUAUUUAAAUACGUUGGUUUAAUCACUUUAUCAUCCAAAUACAGGUGGAUUAAUGCAGUCACUUAAUACUCUGUUUAAGCAGCUGAUUUUUUCAAAAAGCUAAAUAAUUGAGGGAAUUACUAUAAAAUAAGAAAACUUAACAGUUUAUUUACUGCUUGUUGUCAGAGUUGCUGGCCACAAAAAGCCAGUAGAUGCAUGCCACUGGCGUGGCUCAGUGGUGUGGCAGGGACUAAGGAGAUGGCAGGGAUGAGGGGACGGCGGUGCUGUGUAGCCCUGGCUGCAGAAAACAAACAAGUGCAAGAAGUGGCAUGCCUCUGCCUCCCUCCCACCAAAGUCUUCACAGCAAUUACUCCUGCUGGUGUAGCCAAGUCCAGUUACCUAAAUGAAACUGAGAAGGUGAGGAAAUAAUUAUAAAAGAAGCUGAGGCACCGUUAUUUUCUCUAGAUGAAAAUAUUUCUUUGGUUACAGUGGUAUCAAUAAAUCAUUUCGUCCCCUACAGCCCACCUCUCUUCGAGGAGCCCAGCUUUUAAUACAAAUCUGGCAAUCCUGUGCUUCAUUUGUCUUGACUGUGCCCAUGGCAGCCAAGUCAACUCGGGGAAAAAAAAUUUGGAUUUUCAGCCCCCCACGCUGGCGUUCGUUUAUCUGUGUGCAAAGGCAUUUUUGUAACAGGUCUUUAUCUUUCUUCUGUGAGAAGAGGCAGCUCCCUCAUGCCAUGUGGUAGCAAGAGAUGCAUCCUUACCGAGUUUUGCUACACCGACUCGGUGCAGGCAGUCAAGCCAUACCUGACCCAGCGCGGAGGCUGUGGGGAAGCAAGGCGUGAUGCCUUGUGUGUGUUUCAAUCACUUGCACCCCUGUUCUUGUUGCACAUGUCUGCAGGGGAACUGUGGCUGGCUGUUUGCAAAGGAUCUAUCGCCUUGUGCGCUGGAGACACCCUGCUUGCUGCAAAAUGUGACCGGGAGCAACGGCAGCAGGGCGCUUGGUGCUGUCACCUGGCUAACAGCCCCGCUUCCUCAGCACACAGGAACCGCAGCCACUGCCAAGCAAUGGGGUCACACCGUUCCGAUUGGCAGGGAAUGGGACAACGAGCUGGAGAGCCACGUGCUGUAGAGGGAAACCCCUUGUACCCUCUUCCCAAGCAGCAAGAAGAAGGGGCUACAGAAAGAGGUUUCUUGGUGGGUGCCUGCCCAGGGUAUGGGCUUCGUGGCCCUGGUGAGUGGAUACUGGAGCCAAGGGGCCAGUGCUUGGUCUCCCCAAAACACAGCUGUGGAGUGGGAAGGGUCUCCCAGGGCCAUGAGUGGGUCCCCUGCCUGGAUCGCUGCAGCCAGGACUGAGCAGGCAAGCAUGAAAAUACCUCUGUCGUGGGAAGAAACGAGCUUCAGCUCCUCGUGUUUUAAUACGGGAAAUGUCACCUGCUUCUCCAGCUCCUCGCAUAAACAGAGAAUUUAUCUGUCAGCAAGCUAAACCAAUAUAAGUUGAAUAAUAUUUGUUGAUUAAUGUAGUUGAUGAAUUUCAUAUUUUCUUUAAAAUAUUUGCUGCAUAUUUCUGUAAAUUAUUCAUCUGGUUUAUAAGGCAAAGCAAAUAUUUGUGAAUAGAUAUGAAUUAUGUGAUUUAUAAAAAUGAAAUAUUCAUGAGUCAUUUUCAUUAUUCACCUCGUCCUGGAAUUGCUACAUAAAUCUGAUCAAGCAAAUAGAUUUGGUGAAGCUCAGCCCGAACUUAGAUAUCGUGGAGCUCGCUGGCUCCUGCACAGCAAACCAGAGCGGGUUUGGACCAAACGUUUGAAUCGUGUGCCCGACUGCUGCUGCUCGGGCUGCUGUCCCAUGGCUUUGCAGGGAGGCAGGGAAGGACGUGACGGCUGCGCCCGCAGCGUGCUCUACAGCACCUGCUUUGUGCCGAAAUCGGCUUUAACCUGAAUUUCAGCAGAGGCAAGGACAAGAAGAGGAGGCUUAUGUUUUCGUUCCCUGACAAGGACGCUGGCGCUGCCAGAAGGUCGUGCAGCACCGUGGGGAAGGGUGCCAGGGAGAGGUGUUUCGACUCAGAGGGACGACAGCAGGAACGACAGCUGUACAAAAUGAGUGAAGAACUGGACAAAAAGCCUUGCCGUUGGAUGGCUCUGAACCCGGUGCUUGCAGAUGCCUUUUGCCAGCCUUCAGCAGGAUGGGGCUCAGUGUGGGUGCACAGCCAUGAGACGUCUCCCCGGCUUCCCACACAUCCCUCCUCACCUGCCCGUUGUGCUCCUGCCCGCUGCUGGGCUGCUCGGGCUCUUGUGUCGAUGGAUGCUGAGCCUCAGGGGGGAAGGUUUUGCCCUCCACUCACUCCCACCGACUGCCAGGCUGCUCUCCCACAUGCCUCCUCCAGAACGUUGUCUUUGCCCCCUGCCUUUUCGUUAAAAGCUAUUUAUUUUACAAAGGGCUGGCUAAAGGCAUUGCCCAAAGCGCUGAACAGAGAGAGCAGCAAGAGAAGCAGCUCAUGAAGGACGUGCUUGAGCAAGGGGCAUUUAUCUCAGCCUCUGCUUUCCAAAAAGCACCUUGGCAUCGUGAAACAAGGGCAAGUAUGGAAAACGCUGAUGGCUGAGCCAUAACUCCAAGGGAGAGUCCUCAGGACGGCAGGGGACAGCAGGACCCCCAGCCACAGCUGCCUCGCAGAGACAGGGUGAGUCCGGGAAUGAAUCUGGUGCCAGCCUUGGUGUUAAAAGUAAAAAUAAUCUAAUGUUAAAAACUCAGUUAAGCAGAUGCUUAACUUUUAGGAUGUGAGUAAUGCCUCCGACUACACUGGGACUGUGGGUCUGCUUAAAGUUAUGCACACGCUAAGUGCUGCUUGGACUGGUGCCACCCGGCACUCACUGCUGCUCAGUAAUGAACUCAGCUUUUUCAGAAGCUGCAAAAUGAGCACUCAAAAAUUCAGCUUUGGGGACCUUCCUAUUU